UCUUAGAGGGGCGUUGAAACGGAGUUUACAUAGUGAAUCGGCACAAUCAAUGCGAUCAGCAUGCACUGGAGAAAGAUUCGUCUGCUGGAUAAGGUGGCCAAAUUUAUCAGUAAAUAAUAAAUGCAAAUGAUAUUUUAUUAUUGAUUAAAAAAUAUCCUUAAAAAAAUAGCACACAUAAGUGAUUGUUCAAGUACUAGAAAUAUAGACAUUUGUUUGAUUGAUUUUAGUUUGUUUGUGUCGAUGUGUUCAAUAACACGACCAAGGUAUCUAAAAGGAAGGUAAUAUGAUGUGUCAAAUUGCUGAACCCGCCAUAUUGGAAGACCAUACGACAUCUGGCCACUUUGUUUUCGUAAAAUAAUCCAGCAUGCCAUGAAAUCUAGUCAGCUUUUUUCUCUUCUCAGUUUGUUUUGUUUAGUGCACACUUCUUGAAUACUUGCAAAAGGAAGUACAAUAUUGUACACAAAUCAGGAAUUAAUUAGAAGCUUUUUUGGAUAAUAUGGUUCUUUUAUAGGUAGCAGAGUAAAAUCAAGAGUAUACUACACGAUUCAUUGACAACAAGCGCAUCCUCAAUUGGUUUCGUCAAACUAAUGCCAACUCGUAGAAGAAGUUUCAACGGACAGCGAUGACCGAAUUAGAAUGUUGGGGAGUUUCUCCGAGAAGUGAUUGUGAAAAUGCAAAUUAAUUUGUUUCAAUACCGUUAGUCUUGAAGCGUUUUAUCAUGUUUUAGAAUUUUUAUCCAGGCAAAUAAAAAAAAUGAGCUACAACAAUACUUUGAAUGAAUUGAAUUGUGGCUCUUGCUGCUUGGCGGAAUGCGUA